rnacentral:rRNA from 1 species
ACGCCUUAUACAUGCAAGUCGAACGAAGUAGUAAUACUUAGUGGCAGACGGGUGAGUAACAUGUAGGUAUCUUCCCUUUGGUGAGGAAUAACACGAGGAAACUUGUGCUAAUACCUCAUAAGUCUUUACGGAGAAAGCUUUAUGCGCCGAAGGAUGAGCCUGCAUUUGAUUAGUUUGUUGGUGGGGUAAUGGCCUACCAAGACUUUGAUCAAUAGCUGAUCUGAGAGGAUGAUCAGCCACAUUGGGACUGAGACACGGCCCAAACUCCUACGGGAGGCAGCAGUAGGGAAUAUUGCACAAUGGAGGAAACUCUGAUGCAGCGAUGCCGCGUGAGUGAAGAAGGCCCUUGGGUUGUAAAGCUCUUUCGUCGGGGAAGAAAAUGACUGUACCCGAAUAAGAAGGUCCGGCUAACUUCGUGCCAGCAGCCGCGGUAAUACGAAGGGACCUAGCGUAGUUCGGAAUUACUGGGCUUAAAGAGUUCGUAGGUGGUUAAAAAAGUUGGUGGUGAAAUCCCAGAGCUUAACUCUGGAACUGCCAUCAAAACUUUUUAGCUAGAGUAUGAUAGAGGAAAGCAGAAUUUCUAGUGUAGAGGUGAAAUUCGUAGAUAUUAGAAAGAAUACCAAUUGCGAAGGCAGCUUUCUGGAUCAUUACUGACACUGAGGAACGAAAGCAUGGGUAGCGAAGAGGAUUAGAUACCCUCGUAGUCCAUGCCGUAAACGAUGUGUGUUAGACGUUGGAAAUUUAUUUUCAGUGUCGCAGCGAAAGCAUUAAACACACCGCCUGGGGAGUACGACCGC